rnacentral:rRNA from 1 species
AUUGAACGCUGGCGGCAUGCCUUACACAUGCAAGUCGAACGGCAGCACGGGAGCAAUCCUGGUGGCGAGUGGCGAACGGGUGAGUAAUAUAUCGGAACGUGCCCAGUAGUGGGGGAUAACUGCUCGAAAGAGCAGCUAAUACCGCAUACGACCUAAGGGUGAAAGGGGGGGAUCGCAAGACCUCUCGCUAUUGGAGCGGCCGAUAUCAGAUUAGCUAGUUGGUGGGGUAAAGGCCUACCAAGGCAACGAUCUGUAGUUGGUCUGAGAGGACGACCAGCCGCACUGGGACUGAGACACGGCCCAGACUCCUACGGGAGGCAGCAGUGGGGAAUUUUGGACAAUGGGCGCAAGCAUGAUCCAGCAAUGCCGCGUGCAGGAAGAAGGCCUUCGGGUUGUAAACUGCUUUUGUCAGGGAAGAAAUCCUCUAGGUUAAUACCCUUGGGGGGAUGACGGUACCUGAAGAAUAAGCACCGGCUAACUACGUGCCAGCAGCCGCCGUAAGAC